AACGUGCCCAGUAGUGGGGGAUAGCCCGGCGAAAGCCGGAUUAAUACCGCAUACGACCCAAGGGUGAAAGCAGGGGAUCGCAAGACCUUGCGCUAUUGGAGCGACCGAUGUCAGAUUAGGUAGUUGGUGGGGUAAAGGCCUACCAAGCCGACGAUCUGUAGCUGGUCUGAGAGGACGACCAGCCACACUGGGACUGAGACACGGCCCAGACUCCUACGGGAGGCAGCAGUGGGGAAUUUUGGACAAUGGGCGCAAGCCUGAUCCAGCCAUGCCGCGUGCGG
rnacentral:rRNA from 1 species